AGUCUGCAACCCGACUCCAUGAAGCUGGAUUCGCUAGUAAUCGCGCAUCAGCCACGGCGCGGUGAAUACGUUCCCGGGGCCUUGUACACACCGCCCGUCAAGCCAUGGAAGCCGGGAGUGCCUGAAGUGCGUGAGCGCAAGCAGCGCCCUAAGGUAAAACCGGUGACUGGGGCUAAGUCGUAACAAGGUACC
rnacentral:rRNA from 1 species